CCCCCACUGACCCGACCCGACCCAACACCUAAACUAAGUCCCUAAUCGGUCUUUCAUCUCUAACCAAACAUCCCUAACCAAACGCUCCUCUCAUCUCUUUCUCUUCCACCUCGCCGCCACCCCUUCCACCCCAUCACGUCCGUCACCUCACCACCACCACGCCCAUCAGACCACGGAACCAAACACCCCACUCUCUCGUUAACCCAAAAAACAUCGAAACCCGUUGGUUUGAAGCUUUCACCGCCUCCACUGCUACCACGUCUCUUCGCUUUGAUUGACGUGGUGGCAGAGCCGAAAGGAGCCGAUAUAGGUCGUUUCAACCGCAGAAGAGGAGUGCAAUGAACCGCUAGUUUCAAGCUCGGACUCUCCUUCGAUUCAGUGGAUAAUGGAGGAAUCUACCAUGUACUACACCCCAACGACCUUUUCCCUUCCCAAUCAGUCUGAAAAGUUGGCGAAAUCCCCUCUUUUGGUUCUCGGCUGAGCAAGGAUUACUCGGAGCGGAUUCGAAGAUUCAACGACGACAAUAGCUUCAGUUCGCUGUCACAAAGAAGGUCAUCACAUUCGUCCUAUCUUCGUCUUUAAUUUAGUAGAAGUAGAAAUGUAGUCGUUCAGGUAUUUCUUGUCGUUUAUUUGGUUUAGUUGGCUGCUGGAAUAUGUGUUCUCCUCGUUUGUUGUAAAUUAACGUGAAACGACUAAUUUCGUCGAACAUGUGUUUAACUCCUGUCGCCCCGUCGCUGCCGUCAAAAGAUAAUACUUGAACCCCAUUUUAUUCCUAUCAUUCAUUUUCGCAUUAGCACAUAAGUGUUUAUUUUGGUUUGUCUUGAGAAGAUUUAUUUUAAAAUAUGUAGCCUAAUGUUGGCAGAAAAGUGGUUGCUGCACUUAAACUAAGAAGGAUUGCCACUGCUAUUUGUUGAUGUAUUGGCAUGAGUCUACUAUAAUUGGGGCAAAGUUGCCACUGCCUUUGAGAUGCCACAUUUGAGACUUCUAGAUGAUGUUUCAUCAUAGGCUGUUUGCUCCAAGGACAACUUGAGUUCCCAGGAGCUUUACUGUUGCACUUUGGCGAUAACCUUGCUGUUUUUCCUACUUGCUAUUUAUUGAUGUUGUUUUGCUGCUACAUCUUGGUGCAAGGGUUGCUGUGCCUUAGGCAUAUUUUACUGCAUAUUUUUUUUUUAGUUAAACUAGUACUGCUACUUGGUUGCUGGUUGCCCCCUUACCUUUGUGGCUACUACUGCUGCUAUAUUGUCUUCAUGGAUGUUGUGCCCCCUCUCCUCUCAAGAACAAAUACCACACUUGAUAGGAAAUGGUUGCUCCCAUAUUUAUUAUGACCUAUUGUUGCUGUUUUCUCUGUUGUUUGCUGCUGCCCUGCAAAAUUAGAUUGUUACUUAUUGUUGCCAUGCUUUUAAAUUGAACCCUUGACAUGUUCAAAAAAAAAAAAGUCCAUCUGGGCUGUUGUUUUUUUCUGAGAAAAAAGGAGAGACUAACACCACAUUUGAGCUGUAGUCUAUUUUUACUAAACAAAUGCCAUACUUGAUACGAAAUAUGUAUUGAUUUGAAUAUGAUACUACGCUUGGACUAAUGCCUUGGGUUUAUAAGUCUGGCUAAUUGAUGUUUUUCUUAGUCUUAACUUUCGCAAAUAUGGAGUAUGAUUGGUACUUAUAUAGACUAAGUCAUUAUUCGAGAGAAAAAGUUAUUAUUUUUAAGGAAAAGUUACUGUUUUGAUAUAAAAGAAAGCUACUGUUUUUUUUUUAACUAAAACAGCUACUGUUUUUUGGGUUAAAAAGUUGCUGUUUUAAUAUAAAAGAAAGCUACUUUUUUUUUUCAACUAAAACAGCUACUGUUUUUUUUUUUUGGGUUAAAAAGCUACUGUUUUGGUUGGGGAAAAUUACUGGUUUAAGUAAUAAUAAUAAAAAAAAAGAGAGUCUCAGGCUAGUAGUCUGGCAGUGAGUACGAAUCAAAAAAAAAAGAGUUCAAUAUCCGAAAGCUAAUUGAUCUAUGGUUAGAGAUAAGUAGAUAGCUGUUGGUGUAGCCUUCACUCUGUUUGUUGGUGCUGUGUUGUGAUGACUGAAUUCUUUAGUGUGCAGCAUCCUACGCCUCAUAAUCUCUAGCUUCCAUUGAAUAUAACCAAGGGAAUAAAGUUUCUUCCUGUCUUUUGAUGCAGAAAUUGCUUUGUUAAAAGUAAAAGAAGUGAAUAUCAUGUUCAGUCCUGUUAAAGAAAGCUAAAAAUGGUCUGAAUAAUUAAAACCUUGUGUGACUAUAUCUCUCAACUUUAAAAAUGCAUACAAAUUCUGCUUUGUGUCUUAUUUGUUCUCUCCUUUUAGAUAGCUGCUGGUAUGUUGAUAAAAAGGAAAAUGAGGCAGAUCACCAGUUUAGUUUAAGUUAAAAAUGAAUAGAUCACAUGUGUGCUUGUAUGCUUCCCCCUUUUCUGCAUCAGUUUGAUCUUUCUUCUUUGAUUUGGAACUGGCUUAGAUAUCAGUAAUCAGCCAUGUGAUUAGUUUAUUGUUAUUAUUGCCAACUUGUUGCCACUUGAAGGCUGCCUACUGCUGCAAACUUUGGCCCAAAAUAUUGUGGUAUUUUGAGAUUGAAACAUGUUGCAUUCUUGAGGCAAAUUUGGGGCUUAGAGACUGCUGUACCUUGGCCACUAAAUUACUCAUUCUGAAUAUGGCUCGUUGGUGCAUUUGGGUUGAAAUAUUGCUGCCCUUUCUUAAGGCAAUUUACCGGCUACGUUUGCUAAAGUUUGAAGUGCCACUUGCUGCUAUACUAUAAUGAGUAUCUACUGCACUUCAAAGCAGAAUGUUGCUGUACUCUGAGGCCAAUAGUUGCUGCAUUCUGAGCAGAAUUGCUGCAGUGAUUCAAGGCAAACAGAUGCUGCAUCUUGAGCCAAUGCGUUUCUGCACUUCUGGGAAAAUAGCUACUGCUAUGUGUUUUUUUUAAUGAGCAGCUGCAUUUUAGAAAUAUUGUUGCUGCCUUGUUUUAAAAUAUAAUGAGUAAAUGCUACAUUGAAAGAACAGAUUUCUAUACUUGGUAAAAAAUACCACAAUUCAAACAAAACACUACAGUUAGGCCGAUGAAAAGUUGUUUAACUUGAGGCCUCACUUUUAAAAGAACGGAUUUCCAUACUUGAUUGAAAGUUUACUGAUUUGAACACUUAAAACUUGCAUAAAAAGGGAGUGGGGCUGCUAUACUCAAGUUCGGGUGCAAUUAAUAUGCUAAAUUAUUUUUUCCUUAUUUGAACCUAGAGAAAAUAUGCUAAGUAUCUUUGUUUGGGAAUAGUCCAAUAUGAUGUUUUGAAGGCUGAGUAAGCUUUAGUUUAAUCAAAAGUUCUUGUUGUACAUUUAGCUUGAAGCGUUUGGUUGUUUGAGUAGCAAUUGGGACUACAAUGAUCUUCUUUUAAACUGAUCGUGGUGUUGCGUUUUUUGAGAAUAUGACACGAGAAAAGCCUUGUCUUACAUUUGAUUAUUUUGUCUAGCUUUUAUUAAUUAAAGUUAUAUAGACUUCUUUUUCCUUGUUGAGAAUUGUUUCUAAUCUUUCUUUUUUCUUUUCUUUUUCAUGAGGAACCUUGGGAGCAUUUGGAGUUAUGGCAACUCCGGAUUCUGCCCAUAUCUUCAGAGAACAGCCAGUUGCAAAAUUUAAUUGCUCGUGUCUAGCGUCCCCAUCUUCCCUCCUCUCUUUAAAUUUCGUGUCUUCGUGUUAUCAUGUAUAUACAUGUUUAUAUUCUUGACUAACAUUUUUUUUUGGAUUGUAUUUUUUGUAGCAUAUUUAUUUCUUGUUUGUGUAUGAACCUGCGAAAAAAAAAAUGGUUAAGUAUAACAAUAAGUU